CAUAAAUAUUUUGCGAAAACAGAUUUUAUCUAAUAAAAAUCAACCACAAGUACUAUAAAAAUUAAAUUUAUUAGCAAUAAAUUAAAAAUAAUAAGUUUACAUUGGAUUGCGUUAUGAUAAUAUAAAUUUAAAGGCGGUUUUAACAACUAUUUUUUUUCACGUUCUUGACCACUUUUAAAUUCAUGUUUUCAUAAUAAAAAUAUCAAAAAUCAUGUUUUUCGAAUAUGAAACAAUUUCUCAUGUAUCAUCGACUAUUAUCAUAUAGUUCGAAGUUUAGAUGAAUUAUUUUCCAAAAUAUAAGGUUGUGGUGACACAUUCUCAUAGUUUUUUUUUAUUGUUUUAUGAGGGAACUAAGUUGUGGGUAACCUGUCUUUUUUGUCCAUUUACUUGUUGUAGCCGGUUUAGAUGACAGAUAACAACUAUGCACUAUCAUCUUCCUCUCUUUUUCUCUUAUGUACGUAGUCAACAAUAAACAAUCAACAAUUUCUUCCUUUUCUCUGGUUCGAAAGAGAUCUCACACAUAUAGGCAAAUAUUUCCUUUUUUCUUCUUCUCUUUUUCUCAAAAACAUACCGAUGGCUUAUGUUUUUGGUUCUGUGAAAAACAAUAGAAGGGGUUGUGGCUGUUUGGUGAUGCUCGACUGUGAGAAAACGAAGGUAGAGGUGGUGGUUUCGGUUUGUGAGAAACACGAAUGCAGCAGGUGGCUUUAUUGGUGGUGGUGGCUUUGGGUUAAAUUAACCAGAGGUAGCAGUGGUUACCGGUGUUGGUUUGGCGGAGGUAGAACUUACAGUGAUGUUUGUUUUCGGUCACAAUAGGUGGUCUAAGGUGUUUUUAUUUGGAGGUUUGGCUAUGGUGGUGGUGGUGGUUUUCCACGAAGGUGAUGACAGAUGUUCUCGGGGUUCCUAGGCGGUGGUUUAAGGCCGUGAAUGUUAGAAAUCAACCUCCUGUUGCUAUAGAAAAAUCAGAAAAACUGAAUACACAAACAAAAGGAAUGAAAAAACAGAGCAAACCUUUGGGGCAAAUUUUCUGCUAUCUUUUAUUCGUGAUUCUCAAUCUAAUCUAAAAUGAGAAAUGAGAACUUCAUAAGAACAAAGGAAAUUUCUAGAAAUAAGCAAACGGGCUCUACUACUCAACAAGAUUAAGAGCUGAUGGCCAACAUGGCCUUUACUUAUUCCAACUUAAAGAAAAAACAAAAAAAGAAGACUAGAAUGCCCCUGAAGAAAACAAGGAUUAUUUGAACACGUUUGUAGUGAAUCCAAUAGUGAAGGUGGUGUCUAGGUGAACCGAUGGACUUGAGAUGUUCAUGUGUUGUAUUCGUCAUGGAGAAUGGAACCAGAGGUGCUAGGAUUCAGCUAUGGUGGUUCACGAGGGUGAGAUAAGGAGGGGCUGCAACGGGGUGAAGAUUCGUCGAUGGUGCUGGCGAUAUUGGUGGUUGAAGCAAUGUUUAAAGGUGGUUUUUGUUUUCGGUUUAAAUAGGUUUCGAUGGGGGUGGUAUACAGAGCAUGUGGGUCAAGGUUGUUGUCAGCUGUGGGAUUCAGCUGAUCUGAGAUGGUAGUAGUGGUGGUUAAUGGGUGGAGUCUAGCUGGAGUUCUCAGGUUUGGCAGGUGUGGUGUAAGGAUGGUUUAAUGGUGGUAUAAGGAGGAGUUUGUGAGCUUGGUUGUUGGAGGGAUAAGGUGGUCCUAUGCUUUAAGAGGUUGUACAUGUACAACAAAAAUAUUGACACAUAAGCGAAAUUCAAAGUCAAUGUGGGAAAAUUGUCAACAAAUGUUAAUGUAACUGGGUGACCCUUUCACUUUGGCCAAAAGGACAUAAUCGACCCAACAAAAAUUACUUCGUUCUCUCAUAAAACCAUAAAAAUAGUUUAGGGACUAAAUGGACCAACCCUGAAAAGUUCGUAGGACAUAUAUGUCAUUUUCCCUAUUUCUUUUCCUUAAACCAUUGUUCAAAAUACAAAUUAAAACCAACAAAUUACACCUUCUAUCUAAUUUCAGCAAAGCUUUCCUAGUUCAAGUUGUUAUGGAUUUUAUGGAUAUAUUCCCUAUGAUAAAUAAAGACAAAACUGCACAAAUGGUCCCUGUGGUUUGCUGCAAAUUGCCACUUUAGUCCAAAAAGUUUUGGACUAGCACAUAGGUCCAAAGUUUACAUUUUGUUAUGAGUUUGGUCAAAUUUACUUUAAACUUUUUUGUAUUGACAAUUUUAUCCUAAUUUCAUUUUAGAUUGUGAAAGGAAAAAUUUAGAUGAGAGAGAAAGAGAGAGAGAGUUAUUUUCUUUUUUAUUUUUCUUUUAAUUAUGAAAAUAUUUUCAUAAAUAAAUAAAAUGAUAAUAACAAAAAAGAAGGGUGAAAUCGUCAUUACAAAAUUUUUUAAAGUAAACUGGACCAAACUCGCAAUAAAAUGAAAACUUUGGACCUGUGGUGCUAGCCCAAAACUUUUUAGACUAAAAUGGCAAUUUUCAGCAAACCACAGGGACCAUUUGUGCAGUUUUUUCAUAAAUAAAUAAGGAACAUGCUUCUAAACAUAUUGCAAAACAUAGAUGUAGUUGUAACGUUUCCUUUUUCAUACUUGUAGCAUUUGAGGCUAGUUGUUAAUGCCAUCAUAAGUAAAUAGGGAACAUGUUUCUAAAGAUAUCGUAAAGGAUACAUGAUUUAUCAAUGAUAAAAGAACAUUGAAAAACUUUCACAAAUGUGGAACAAAUUCAUAUUUUCAAUGUUAUUGGAAGACUUGAUCAACAACAUGUUUUAAUGUUAUUGUUAUUAAUCAAAGUAAUCAAAUUGAAGAAAAAAAAUAUAUUCUAUUGACAUUCAGAUGAGAGAGAGAAAGAGAGAGAGAGAGAGUUAUUUUCUUUUUUAUUUUUCUUUUAAUUAUGAAAAUAUUUAAAUAAAUAAAAUGAAAAUAACAAAAAGAAGGGUAAAAUCGUCAUUACAAAAAAAAUUAAAGUAAACUGGACCAAACUCGUAAUAAAAUGAAAACUUUGGAACUGCGGUGCUAGCCCAAAACAUUUUAGACUAAAGUGACAAUUUUCAGCAAACCACAGGGACCACUUGUGCAGUUUUGUCAUAAAUAAAUAAGGAACAUGCUUCUAAACAUAUUGCAAAGCAUAGAUGUAGUUGUAAUGUUUCCUUUUUCAUACUUGUAGCAUUUGAGGCUAGUUGUUAAUAUCAUCAUAAGGAAAUAGGGAACAUGUUUCUAAAGAUAUUGUAAGUAUAGAUGAUUUAUCAGUCAUAAAAGAACAUUGAAAAACUUUCACAAAUGUGGAACGAAUUCAUAUUUUCAAUGUUGUUGGAAGACUUGAUCAACAUGUUUUAAUGUUAUUGUUAUUAAUCUAAGUAAUCAAAUUGAAGAAAAAAAAUAUUCUAUUGACAUUCAAUUUGUUUUUCAAGUGAGAGAGAUCUGAUUCUUAUACCCUAAUUUCAUUUCAGAUUGUGAAAGGAAAAAUUUAGAUGAGAGAGAGCGAGAGAGAGAGAAAGAGAGAGUUAUUUUCUUUUUUAUUUUUCUUUUAAUUAUGAAAAUAUUUAAAUAAAUAAAAUGAAAAUAACAAAAAGAAGGGUAAAAUGGUCAUUACAAAAAAAAUUAAAGUAAACUGGACCAAACACGCAAUAAAAUGAAAACUUUGGAACUGCGGUGCUAGCCCAAAACAUUUUAGACUAAAGUGGCAAUUUUCAGCAAACCACAUGGACCACUUGUGCAGUUUUGUCAUAAAUAAAUAAGGAACAUGCUUCUAAACAUAUUGCAAAGCAUAGAUGUAGUUGUAAUGUUUCCUUUUUCAUACUUGUAGCAUUUGAGGCUAGUUGUUAAUAUCAUCAUAAGGAAAUAGGGAACAUGUUUCUCAAGAUAUUGUAAGUAUAUAUGAUUUAUCAGUGAUAAAAGAACAUUGAAAAACUUUCACAAAUGUGGAACGAAUUCAUAUUUUCAAUGUUGUUGGAAGACUUGAUCAACAUGUUUUAAUGUUAUUGUUAUUAAUCUAAGUAAUCAAAUUGAAGAAAAAAAAUAUUCUAUUGACAUUCUAUUCUUGCUUGCUAGUAAGGUACAAAUCCUCCAUGCCUUGAUGUCUUUUUGUUAUUUUUUUGUCUAAAUUAAAUGUAAUCAUGAUUUUGACUUUUUGCCACUUAAGAUCCCCAUUGCAUUAGACAUAGCCAUUGAUCUUGAUUCUACUGCAAAUUUGUACUUACAAGUUAGAAAAUCUAUUCCUUUUUUUUAUAGAAUCUUACAGCAUAUAUGCCACGAAAUAGAAACUAGCAUUCCACAACGAAUGAUUUUAAGCUUGUAGGUAUAUCACCUUAUAUAUGAGAAUGCCAGAUGCUCCAAUUGUCAGUAACAUGCUCUCAUAUAGGUCGGUAACCAAGUAUUCACUUAUUUCACUCAUCAUUGUCCUUAAGAUUAGAUUUUGUUGUUUGUGUAAACUUCAAUUUUUUGACUCGACUCUAUAUGUUCUCUAUUCAGAAGAAGAGCUUCACAUGGAAAAUGAAUCCAAAAGAUAUAUCCAGGUUUCUGUGUAGACUAGUUCUGACUGUUGUCCCCUUUAUUUAGAAUCAAAGAACAUUAUUUUUUUUCUAUUGUAUAUGCAAAACCAGAUAAAUGGAAAAUUUUUGAAAAGCGGAUUAAUGAUUAUAUAUAGCCAGGAUAGAACAGAAGCCACACAUCAAUCAAUGGUAGCUCUCAAAAGGUUUACUACUUUAUUCUAGACCUCUAGUCAAAGGCUAUCUAUGUUUUCUUUUUAGACAAUUCCAGAAGGAUGCAUUAGGGACUAAGGAGGUGAAAAUUCCUCAUGAACUUGAGCAUCACCUUCCCAUUUUCCGCGAACCUGUUGAUGAUGACUACCUAUUUGGCUCUUUUUAGAAAUAACAUUUGUUUACAUGAAGUUUGGCUACUUCUUUUUAUAUAUUUCUAUCACUUAUAUCGACUCAUAUAAGUAUUGUGUGAGUGGUAUCCAACAACAAAUAUGGUGAAGAUUAUGCUGGGGAACAAUAAAUGGGCAACAUACUCCCAAUGUCAGUGCCUUAACUUACAACUUUAAGCUUAAAACAAGAUAUAUAUUGUGCAUUUAACAUAUUUUUUGCUUGUGCUGAAUAUAGUUUGGUUUGAUUGCAUAACUGGAUAACUUAAUGAAAAAAUUUGCAGCUGCCAGUAAUGAUGUGGAAGUUGGAAAUCUCACAGGCUCUGCUUGAAGAUAUGACAAGAUAUAUGUAAAAGCUGCCUAAAGUUCUGUGAGCAAAGAUUUGUGCGAUGUGUUCUCCUAAUCAAUAAAAAGAAACGGUGCGAGUGAUCUAGAGAAGGCAAAGGAUGAACUUUCUUUUUUGCUUAUGGAUGACAUGUGAGAGGCAUAUCUAGCUGUAGUUAAUAGAGUAUCUUAACUUGAUAUGGUUGGGUGAUGCUAAAUUAUAGGUGAUGCGCAUGUAAUUUAGUGGAUUUUUGAAUGUUGAACAAAUUAUAGCUAUGUACUUUCUUUAGAUUUAUUGAUGUCUUUUAAUAUAUAGAUUUUUUUGGAUGAUAUAUGGUUGUGGGAUAUUGGUUUUUAUG